ensembl:lncRNA
CGCAGACAGCACAAAGGAAACGAGGCAAGAAUGAUGCAGAUAGCACAAGGGCACAAUUCAUAUUGUGAAUCUCAUGGACAGGAUGUGGAAUGUGAGAGAGGGAGAAACCCAGGACACCUCUAAGGUGGAUGGUCCACAUAAGCACAAGUGGAAUAAAGAAGUCUAUCAUGGAACACUGGGGUGGAGGGCCUGAGGUGGAGGGGAAUCAUUUUGUUUCUAUAAGUUAAAUUUGAGAUGUCCAUUAGACACAGAAGUGAAAAGAUAACACCGAAGGUUCAACCAGGAGUGGACUCAGGUAGGGGAUCCUAGGCAGUGAGGUCACUUCUUUGACAACAGAGCCCAACAGAACUUGGAACCCCUGCAACCAGGCACCCACAUUCUAGUGCAGCCCCACAUCAGGCUCACUUGGCUGGAGACAUCCGCUAGUGAAAGAUGUUCUCUUGCUGCGUGCCAACUUCCCGGGGUUCUGGCUUCCAGAAACCCCAGGGAUGCGGCUUUUUCAAAUGCUGUAGACUUUGGUUCCACCGUCACACCCCUCGCCUCAAGGCAUUUGCCAGGAGGCGCCCUAAGAGCUCCACACAGGAGAUGGGGCAGGAAUGGGAGGAAGAAAUCCAGUGCUCCACCUCCUUGAUGAACAGGAAAGUGCCCUGCACAGCUAACAGAGGCCAGUGUGGACUCAAGGGCUAUUCAGCCAUCUGGAUCCAGCUGGAGGGAGAAGUGGCAGGCAGCUCCAGGAGAAAACUUCAGAACUUUACAAAAGGUUUUGAUUAAAGUUUGGAAAGAAGUAUCCAUUCCUUCUUUUCAUUUCUUCACAGCAGAUGUCUUUUUUUCUCAUUCUGCUAAUUUCUCCUUGGAUGUUCCUUCAUUCCUUAAUUUAAUCUUAUUUCCAUUUUUAGGGUUGCCUGUUCUUUCUCUACUGCCAUUUUCAUGGUCUCAAUCAUUCAGUCAUUUGGGGCCAUCAUUUUUUUUUUCACUUUCUCAAUCCUUCAUCCAUUCUUUCUGCCCACUUAUUCAUUAUCUGUUUUCCCACAGCUUUGGUUGCCAUGAUUAAUUUUAUCUCUAUUCCUUUCCAUUCUCUCAUUUCCUUGCACAUAAAAUGAAUAUCUCUAAUUUACUGUGUAAUCUUUUCUCUCAUUGACUACUUUAUUCCCCAUCUCAUUUGCCAUAUUUCCUCACUCCUCAUCCAUUCUUCAUCUCGUUUUACACAUUACCUCAUUCGUUCUGUCACUUUUCUCCCAUUUUCCUAUCCCUGCAGUUAAUUCUCACGAGCUUUUUCCUAUCCCUGCAGCUAAUUCUCAUUUUAUACUUUCUCUCCCCAUAAUCUUGAGCCUAAUUCCUUCUACAUCUAGAUUUUCAUUCUAUUAUCCAUUCUCUUUGCUUUGUAUUCACUCCAUUGAAACUAUACAGUAAAACUAUAAUGUCAUAAAUUAUUCUUUUUUCAAAACCAGGUGGAAAUUUAUCAGUCCAGCUGUGGCAUUCUCUUCUUCCUCACUCCCUCUUUUUGCUCUUUCAAUGGGUAAGUCAUGUUCACUCUGCCUUCUAAGGAUAUCACAGACCAGCCCACUCCCACAUGCCCCCUAUUCCCUUCUGUUCAAUCUCAGUUUGGAUUUUCUCCAAAGUGGAUCCUGAGGCAAGGAUUUGGAUACAAAUUAAUUUCAAUUUUUUGCUUUGUUUUGUUUUGGAAGUGGGAAAGUAAGAUAAGGAAGAAAGGAUAUAUAAUAAAGUGUGUGUGGUGUGCUGGUUACCA